CGCAGCUUUUUUCAGUUUACGAUCGUGGAAUUCAAGGAGUAAUAAGUGGGUAUUGGUCAAAAUCGACUUCGAUCUGGCUUUAAAGUAGAUGGCUAGUAAAGAAAAAUAUUUCGAAGGAAAGGAAAGAUGCGCGUCCAGUAACCCGACAGCACAAAAUUAGGAUCCAAGCUCUUCGCGGCUAGACGAAAACUAUGACGACGUCGAGUGUCACGAUGGCGAUGGCGAUGGCUAUGGCGAUGGUGAUGGCGAUGGCGAUGGCGAUGGCGAUGGCGAUGGCGAUGGCGAUGGCGAUGGCGAUGGCGAUGGCGAUGGCGAUGUCGUUGUCGAUGUCGAUAGCAGCGACGACGAUGACGGCGACAUCAACAAAGAUGAUAAGAAUAGCAUACAGUAACAGAACUAUAUCUCAAACAUUAUCGGCUUGAUGGAACAGAGAGCUAACCGAAGGAAAAAGCCUCCUAGCGACCUUAGUUUGGUUGGUACACGAAGAGACGUUUCUUCGUCCAUCGAGCUAAAUAUACAACGAGUUGCUAGCGAGUUUACAGAUGCAUCGUGCGUUCUAGUGGCGCACAACGCUAUCUAAUAACGUAACCGCAUCUCUUUUUCAAACAAUCAACUCGAUAAAUCAAUAUAAUUGGAAAAUGUAACGUCUUAAAGUAAAUUAUGUCAUUGUUUUAUGAAAAGAAAUAAGCUUGCAGUUACUCUUAUAUAUUUUCAAUAUAUUGGCAACCAAAAUAUGUAAAAUAGAAAAACGAACUAUCGCUAAACCAUAAUAUAUGCUUCCGGAAUCGUUAAACUUAUAAUUUGACCGAUGGCAAACAUUGGCUAACGUAUGGCUAUCUAUUAAUAUUAUAAUCUUACUAUACCUGCCUUUUUUCAAAAUUGCAAUUUGUCCUAGAGACGUUCGAAAAUAAUAUUAUAAUAUAAUUAAAUCCAUAAAGUUCUUGGAAUUUUAAAACACAAACAGACGAGCGACAUAAUUUAAAUUUCAAACGAUUUCGUGGUUUAGAUGUAAUCAAAAUGUCUUAAUCACGUCUCAAUGCUUUUAAGUAUCGCAAUGCAACUGGAAAAUAAAUUUAAAAAUAUCGGAUCGAUAGCGUAAGAAUAUUACGAAAUUUAAUUUCAUAGAAUAUCUUAAUAUCUAUCUACAAAGUUACAUCUUAAUACUGACAGUCGGUGACCCGUAACACAUUUGGAAGUUUUCCAAAAGAUCAUCAUAGAAGUACGUGAUGUUAAUAAUUAGUGCUUCUAUUGCAGUCAAAAAUAUUGUACAUUGUAUGCAACACAGAUUUUUCUCCUGUUCAUUUUUGGACUUUUACUUUCCCGAUGAAUUCUCUCUCUGUUUUGGUUUCGCUACUGCGAAAUCUUUGAAAAAUAAACAAGAUCAAACGCUAUCGUAGCUGCACACCAUAGGAGAAGUAUUGCUCGAAUUUUCUUUCCUCUCUUUUUUGCCAUUAACGUUGAAAAUGAAUUUAAGACUUACAUAAGAAUUAUUUGACUGUAACCUUCGUGACAUAAGCUUACGUACACGAUGCCCGGCAUAUUUUGCAUUCAAUACACCGAUCAAAAGCAUUAAAGACGUAAAUAAGUUUCACUGAUAUGUAUUCCAACUAUCUAUAUCAACGGAUACUGUACUACUUGUAAUUUAUUACUCCAGAUCUUAUCCGGCAUCGAUAACUCCUAGUCAAUAAACCACGUACGCAACACGUA